GUAGGGAGCAAGCGUUGUCCGGAAUCAUUUGGGCGUAAAGCGCGCGUAGGUGGCCUCGUAAGUCCGCUGUAAAAGUCAAAGGCUCAACCUUUGAAAGCCGGUGGAUACUGACGGGCUAGAGUACGGGAAGAGGCGAGUGGAAUUCCUGGUGUAGCGGUGGAAUGCGCAGAUAUCAGGAGGAACACCAAUAGCGAAGGCAGCUCGCUGGGACGUUACUGACACUGAGGCGCGAAAGCGUGGGGAGCGAACAGG
rnacentral:rRNA from 1 species